AGUGAACGCUGGCGGUAGGCCUAACACAUGCAAGUCGAACGGCAGCACAGUAAGAGCUUGCUCUUACGGGUGGCGAGUGGCGGACGAGUGAGGAAUACAUCGGAAUCUACUUUUUCGUGGGGGAUAACGUAGGGAAACUUACGCUAAUACCGCAUACGACCUACGGGUGAAAGCAGGGGAUCUUCGGACCUUGCGCGAUUGAAUGAGCCGAUGUCGGAUUAGCUAGUUGGCGGGGUAAAGGCCCACCAAGGCGACGAUCCGUAGCUGGUCUGAGAGGAUGAUCAGCCACACUGGAACUGAGACACGGUCCAGACUACUACGGGAGGCAGCAGUGGGGAAUAUUGGACAAUGGGCGCAAGCCUGAUCCAGCCAUACCGCGUGGGUGAAGAAGGCCUUCGGGUUGUAAAGCCCUUUUGUUGGGAAAGAAAAGCAGCAGGUUAAUACCCCGCUGUUCUGACGGUACCCAAAGAAUAAGCACCGGCUAACUUCGUG
rnacentral:rRNA from 1 species